UGAGACCUGAAGCCUCAGAACCAGCUCUCCUCCUCCUCUUCCUCCUCAAGAUGGACCUCAACUCACUGAACUCUGGUUCACUCUUUUGGUCCCAGAGCUAAUUCUUUGGUUGUUUAAGGUUUAGCAUAGGAGACCCCAAAGCAGCAAGGUUCUGGCCCUGGUUCUGCCACUUGCCAGCUCCACGCCCUCAGAUCAGUGGCUUCAGAGCCUCAACGUGCUCAGCUGUGAAACAGGGACAGGGUGAGGCCUUCCCAGGUAUGAUCCACUGUGCCCAUCCUGGAUGCAGACUUUAAGCAGAGUCACAUCAACAAGAAGAGCUGUGAAGGUCAGGGCAUGACCCACAGAUGCCCAAACACUGCACUGGAGGUCCAGGAAGAUUCUGCUGACAACGCAACCCUGAGCCAAGAUCUGAAGGAUAAGAGGGAGCUUAUAACAUGGAAGAAGGAACAGUAUUCCUGGCAAGUGGAACAGCAUGUGCAAAGAUGAGGACAUGGGCCCAGAGAGGUUAUGUGAGUGACACAGCUUGAAGGUGGAGUUAAGCCUGGGCAGUCUGGCUUCAGAGUGUCCACAGUCUCAACCACUGCCUCACAUGGCUUCUUAGAAAAUAUUAUAAAAAGAAGCUCGGGCUGCCAUGUGGAAAAGAAUGGAGAGGGGACAAUGACACAGCUGGGAGCAUGCUGUGAUGGUGUACAGCGGACACAUUCAGGAUGAGGUGAAACAGGCUGGCCCUGGUGAGAGGCUAGAUGGGGCUGGGAUGAGGGUGGAGACAAGUAGUCUUGGGGUUGGCUUGGUGCAGCUGGGGGGUGCGGGGAGUGUCUCUGAGGUGAGGCCGGGGGUAUGGGAACGCCAUGUUUGGUCUGGGACACGGUGGGCUUGGGAUGGCUACAGGACAGUGCAGUGGAGAGUCAAAAAGGCUGCUCGGACCCAGGUCUGGCGAGAUGGAAGCUGGAGGUCAGGUGAGCUGUCUAGGAGAGGGACAGAGUGGGAAGGAGAGGGUCUCGACUCGGCUUUCUUGCCAAAGGAGGGUUCCGAAAUGAGAAACUGUGGAAUCUAAGCUGGAGAGGAAGAAAGACGGAGAAUGAGUGAACGCACACGUGUGGGACAGAUAGAUGAAUAUUCAUGUCUUUGGCUCCUAUGUACCUGAGUCUUCUAAAGCUGCAGGCCAUACUACCCCCGGGAGGCUGCAGGGAUGCCAGCUGGGAGAUGAAUGCAACUCUGCUGCCUGGGCAUGGGCCUGAGUGAGGGUGCAGACCCCUGCCUGUGAUCAUCAGGGAGGGUGAUGAGAACAAGGUGGCUGACAGGGUGAGGCCCAAGCCUGGAGCUUACCCAGGUGCGGGGAUGGGAGGGUCAGAGACCUUUGGGGGGUCUUAGGGAGCUUCCCCAGCCCUAAAGGCACCGCAAGCUGCCACUUCACACUGACCUGGGCAUACGCAGCUGCAGGAUCCCUUGCUCGCUCUCUCACAAGCAAAUGUAGACUGCGCAACCAUCCUGACCACAGAUCCAGAAAGCCCAGGACAUAACAGAGCCGCAGUGCCUGCCCUGAUCCACGCGCACACAGAUCUAGCCCAGGAACAAGCCCAUCCACGGAGUGAGCAGCUGACAGGGGAGCCACGAACAGCCUGGAGAGCUGAGCAUGGGCCUGCUCCACACUCCAGCGGGGCCCGAGGCCCCCGGGAACUCUACCCCUCCUGGCAGCCUCACAGAACCUGCUGCAUCCAUCUCAAAAGGCAUACCUCCUCCAGGAAGCCUUCCCCGCUGCUCAGAGGUCUUAAAUCCGGGGUCUGCACUCACAAACUGUGCAGCCUACACCAGCUUCUGGGGGACAGCAGAACACUGUGGGGGGCCUGGCACAGUCCCUGGCACACGGUAGGCACUCAUCGAGCCCCUGCCAGCCCCUCUACUCCUGACUUCUGAGGCAACAGGAAAUGACCCGCCACCUUGUUCUCACAGAGCCUCCCUGCCAGCCCAGAUGGUCACAAGGGCCUCCUGGGAUGCUGCCCACCUUGGCAGCCAGGCCCCUCCGGAGGGGCCAGUCUGGGCCUGACACCCCCGAACACCAACCCCCUGGGCAGAGCCUGCCUGUGCCUGGGUGAGGAACCCUGCAGUCUCCUUGCCACACAAGGCCUGGGUCUGCCUUGGGGCCCAGGCUGCACCCUCUCCGACCCCCAGGCCCAAUGUCUGACCUGUGCCCACCUGACUCAACCUGGCUACUGUUCAGCAAGUUUACAAAGUGUUCUCAGUCUGAACAGGAACCGUUUUCAAUCCUUUAUUUCAGAAAGGAGAGCCAGGAGAACUGGGGACUUAGAAAAUACAGAUCCUAAACUCAAAAGUCCCUGCCCCAGGCGUGCAGAGCCAGGGUCCUGGGGUUUUGUGCUGGGCAGGGGCUGCCCUGGGAGGGGGAAUACAGGGGGAGGCACUUUAGGACACCCCUUAGGCUGUGGAGGGUGUCAGCUGGGCCUUUGAAGCCACUAACCACUGGUUCCCAUCAUGGAGAGCCCUGUGUGGGGCACCCAAGGGGGUUUCCUCCUGGAAGGGCCCCCAACCCAAGUGUCAGAGAAGCUGGCAAGAGCUGAGGGAGUGAGGUGCCAUGACAGCAGCCACAGCCUCCAGGGACCCAAACAGGCCCAGCUACCAGCCUGGCACUGAGCAUGCCAUCUGCUUUAGGCCCUGGCUGGCGGGCAUGUGGGCAACUUGCUCCCUCAGUGCAGGGGGCUGGGAGGCACAGAUGCAGGCUCAGCACUACAAACUCAAAACCCCCAUGAGAGGGCUCAGUCUUAUGGGAAAUGCCUCCAACCGAGCCCCUUUGCCCCAACACACUCUUCGUCUGCCUACUGAAGAAACUUCUGUAAAUAGCAGAGACUUGAGGGACCCCUUCCUGGGGUACGUGUAUUUGUAUUUUUCUGUUUGGGUGUUUGUGUGUCCCAGUGGGACCACCUCCCCAGGGAGACGAGGCAGGUGGGCGGGAGGCCCGGCAGGCGCCGUUACUUCUUCACGAUCUGGAUGACGUCCUCAUGCUCCAUGGUGUGGGUCAGGCCCACCCGCUGCGGACUGUACUUGGUGCUGGUGCCCUGGGUGAGGAAUGGGGGCAGAGGGGUCACCUCAGCCUGGACUGGCCAAGGUCAAGGAAGAUAUCCCUGGGCGUGUGUGUCCUGAAGGGUAAAUGCCAUGGCAUAAGGUGGGGGCCUCAGGCAGCAGGAUGUCCGCAGUUGUCUGACCAUCCCUGAUCUCAAAGGUUGGGGAGGGCCAGGCACAGUGGCUAAUGCCUGUAAUCCCAGCACUUCUGGAGGUCAAGGUGGGAGGAUCACUUGAGCUCAGGUGUUUGAGACAGCCUGGGCCAGAUAGCGAAACCUUGUCUCCAUGAAAAAUUAGCCAGGCAUGGUGGUGUGUGCCUGUAGUCCCAGCUACUUGUGAUGCUGAGGUGGGAGGAUCGCUUUUGCACAGAUGUCGAGGCUGCACUGGGCCAUGAUCGUGCCACUGCACUCCAGCGUGGGAGACAGAGCCAGACCCUGUCUCAAAAAAAAAAAAAAAAAAAAACCAGAAAAAAAAAAGGGUGGGGAAGGCCCAUGUCUACCCUGGGUUGGCAUGUACAUUCUAUGGAGGACAGACACACAGACAUGCCAAUCCCCACAGGAAGGACAGGAACACCACGCAGAGAGUGUGAAUGCCUUGCUUCAUGCCUAACCCAGGGGCUGUCCUGGGUCUACCCCCCUGGUUGCUUUCCACCCAGAGACUCACCCACACCAGGGCGUACUUGAACUGGCUGGCGAGUGACCGGUGGAUGCGGUGGCACUGGAGGACAGGAGAGAGUCAGGUAGAGAGGUCUUCCAGGCCCUGGUGGGAGACCCAACACCUCAGCCCAGCGUCCCUGGGGCGGAGGCCGGCGCCAGGCCUGCAGGAACACUUCCUUGACACAGAUGGGAAGGUGGCUGACUCUGGUCUGCAGAUGGGUUUUGUUUUACUCAGCUUGCCCAGCAUUGCCACUUGUGAGUGACUGAAGGGAUUCAGGAGGGUAAUCGUGAGUCUCCUUGGCUCCUCCUGCUGUGAUCUCAAGCCUAGGCCCUGAGGGAGAUGGGACUUUGCCUGGCCUCCUUUGUUUAACACCUCUAGGGUGGCACUCAGAGACCUGGGGCUGGGCUUGCGGAAUGAAUGAAUGCAUGAGACCAGAUUACAGGCCCUGCCACCACUGUCCUAAGGGGCUGCAGGGACAGCUGGGUCUACAGCAUCCCUUGCCUCCAGGAUACAGAUCCCAAGAAGAAAUGAGCUAGAGGAAAACAACACCAGGAAAGCAUCAGCCCAGGAGGACGGCCAUGUGACCUGAAGGUUGGCCACCAUCUGUGCCUGCAGGGUCAUGUUCAGGUCUUGUCAACUCACCACGUGCUCCACUGAGGCCCCUUUCCGGAGAAUGAUGGCGUCUGUGAAGUCUGGCCUCUCUGCAGGGCAGGAUGGGGAGAACGUCAGCCACACAUCAGGGCCCACACUGCCAUCUUGUGAUUCUGCGCGAGGGAAGAGCUGGCCACAGAGGCCCUUUCGGUCUCCUUGCCUUGGCCUAACCUCCCCCUGACAUCCAGCACACCCUCCACAUAGAUCCCUGUACCAUCUUCUACGACCUUGAUCUUAACACAGUGACUCAAAAUAAAUCACGUCUAGGAUUCACAGUGCCUGCCACCCAUCUGCUGUGACAGCACUGACAGAGACCAGGACCUGGACUGAACGGGCAGGGCGCAAAGGGAUGCUGGAGUCUAGUGAGGGAAGCUGUAGCUCACUCCUUGCCAAAGUCAGGGUUGAUGCAAACUGCUCCGAAUUCAGCU
rnacentral:lncRNA from 1 species